rnacentral:misc_RNA from 1 species
GUGUGGCGGGCUCUAUCAUGGCGAUUGGUUUGGGUCCUCCUCGUGGGGAACUGGAUCAUGAGCCCACUUUUUAAACCCAUUCUUAAAUACUGAAUAUACUGUGGGGACGAAAGUCUCUGCUUUUAACUAGAUAGCAACUUUCAGCAGUGGAUGUCUAGGCUCGCACAUCGAUGAAGAACGCUGCGAACUGCGAUACGUAAUGCGAAUUGCAGGAUUCAGUGAGUCAUCGAAAUUUUGAACGCAUAUUGCACUUCCGGGUUAGUCCUGGGAGUAUGCCUGUAUCAGUGUCCGUACAUCAAACUUGGCUCUCUUCCUUCCGUGUAGUCGGUGGAUGGAGACGCCAGACGUGAGGUGUCUUGCGGCGCGGCCUUCGGGCUGCCUGCGAGUCCCUUGAAAUGUACUGAACUGUACUUCUCUUUGCUCGAAAAGCGUGACGUUGUUGGUUGUGGAGGCUGCCUGUAUGGCCAGUCGGCGACCGGUUUGUCUGCUGCGGCGUUUAAUGGAGGAGUGUUCGAUUCGCGGUAUGGUUGGCUUCGGCUGAACAAUGCGCUUAUUGGAUGCUUUUCCUGCUGUGGCGGUAUGGGCUGGUGAACCGUAGCUGUGCGAGGCUUGGCUUUUGAACCGGCGGUGUUGUUYCYAAGUAGGGUGGCGGCUUCGGCUGUCGAGGGUCGA